rnacentral:rRNA from 1 species
UACGUAGGGUGCAAGCGUUAAUCGGAAUUACUGGGCGUAAAGCGUGCGCAGGCGGCUUUGCAAGACAGAUGUGAAAUCCCCGGGCUCAACCUGGGAACUGCAUUUGUGACUGCAUGGCUAGAGUACGGUAGAGGGGGAUGGAAUUCCGCGUGUAGCAGUGAAAUGCGUAGAUAUGCGGAGGAACACCGAUGGCGAAGGCGACUCACUGGACAUGUAUUGACGCUGAGGUGCGAAAGCGUGGGGAGCAAACAGG